AUACGUAGGUGACAAGCGUUAUCCGGAUUUACUGGGCGUAAAGGGCGUGUAGGCGGUCUUGCAAGUCAGAAGUGAAAUUCCUGAGCUCAACUCGGGCGCUGCUUCUGAAACUGCAGGACUUGAGUGCUGGAGGGGAUAGCGGAAUUCCUAGUGGAGCGGUAAAAUGCGCAGAUAUUAGGAAGAACACCGGUGGCGAAGGCGGCUAUCUGGACAGUAACUGACGCUGAGGCGCGAAAGCGUGGGGAGCAAACAGGAUUAGAUACCCUGGUAGUCCACGCCGUAAACGAUGAACACUAGGUGUAGGGGGUAUCGACUCCCUCUGUGCCGCAGUUAACACAAUAAGUAUUCCGCCUGGGGAGUACGGCCGCAAGGUUGAAACUCAAAUGAAUUGACGGGG
rnacentral:rRNA from 1 species